GAAAGAGCCGGGGGCUCCAAGAUGGCGGCGCCGUGUGCGUGAGGGCGGGCGGUGUUGCUCCGGGGAAAUGUUUGCGCCUUAGAACAGAACCGGCGGAGCCGCGGGCACGGGGCAGCGAGGAGGGUUGCUGUUUGUGUCUGUGGAGAAAAAUAGAGAACUGAGAGACACGCGGGAUACGUUCACCGAUUGCCCUUCUGGUGGGGGCACGUGAGAGGAGCCAGGUUUUUCCAGGAAGAGCCAGUACUCGUACAAAAUGUUGGAGACCCCCAUGCACAGCCCCGUAUCUCAUCAGGGCGCAGUGGAGACUGCGUGACUGCAGCUUGCCCGAGGCCUUGGAAGCUGUGCCAUGAGGUUGUGCUGAGCAGAGCAGUUCCAUGGCAGCUGUGCUUCACAGUGAGCUGCCUGGCGACAGCGGCUGUCCCCAUAGGUGUCCCUCUCACUGACGUACCAUGGGAGAUGUCACGGAGAAGGAGAUGGAUAACCUCACGUUCAAAAGUGACACCGUCCUUUCUGACGUGCACUUGCACUGUCCCAACAAAAGUCAUCUCAUGGUACGAUUGAAUGCGGUUGGGCAGCCAGUGUUCCUGUCAUAUUUCAAAUUCCUUUGGAACACAGAUGAUCGGGCCUCUGAGAAGUGUGCAAGAGAAACUACAACUGAAAGAGAACACCAGUACGGAGGUGGAGAUGGACUAACUAACAGGGACGGGAAUAAUCUGAAAUAUGAAAAGGAAUUGAACAGUGAAGGAAUAGAAGCUCUGCUAGAUGAGGACGGAGACUUGGAAGUGGUCAGAAGGCCUCAAAGAGCCAGUGACUCAGAGACAGAGGAUCUUAUGAGGGAUAGAGUAUAUCCUGUAAUUCUGAUGAGAGGAAAAGAAAAUGCAUUUGAAGAAGAAGAACAAGAAUGCACUUGCAGCAGUGUUGUUAAAAUAGAGCAUACUAUGGCAACCCCCUUAGAAGAUGUUGGUAAACAAGUCUGGCGUGCAGCCUUUCUUCUUGCUGAUUACAUUCUGUUUAAACGGGAUAUGUUCAGGAGUUGCACAGUGCUGGAGCUUGGAGGUGGCACAGGAAUUGCAAGCAUCACCAUGGGAAUGAUUGCUAGCAGAGUUUAUUGCACAGAUGUUGGUGAAGAUCUUUUGGCCAUGUGUGAAAAAAAUGUUGCAUUAAACAAGCACCUGAUGGAACCAGGAGGAGGAGAAAUUAAAGUGAAAGAACUGGACUGGCUGAAAGAUGAAUUCUGCACUGAUCCAGAAGCUCUCUAUAGCUGGUCUGAAGAAGAGAUUGCAGAUUUGCAUGACCACUGCACUGUGAUAAUGGCAGCUGAUGUGUUCUAUGACGAUGAUCUGACAGAUGCCUUCUUCAGAACGCUGUAUAGAAUCACACAUAACUUGAAACAUUCUUGCACAGUUUUCCUAGCCAUAGAAAAGAGGCUGAAUUUCACUUUAAGACAGAUGGAUGUUACGUGUGAAGCCUACAGUCAUUUUCGAAGUACUCUAAAUGAUUUGGAGAACCUUCAUGAUGGAAAAAUGAAAUACAGUGUGGAACCCAUUAAGCCUGAUUUUUGCCAGUUUCUUACUUAUGAAAGGAUUGAGCAGUUGAACAAUUCAGUGGCUUAAAUUGUUUCUUAACCUCUGAGGAAAUGAGAACAAUCUCCGGGACUUUGUAAAAUAACAAUUUUUGUGAUUGACUGGAAAAUGGACCGGUAUCUUCUUCAUUUCUUUGAAUGAAUUGUGGAAGAUCAUGGCUGAUCGGCUAACGUGACAGGGACAUGAGAAAAUAGAAGAUCUUAAUCUAACGAUAAUAUUUUCGGUAGUGUUUUAUUGAAAAAUUUCCUGUUGGAUGUGAGUUCUCAGAAACUAAUUCCCUGCAGAUUUGCCUUACCUCAGCAAGUCUUGUUUUUUUGGCUCUUAGGAUGUGGUUUCUUUGCUUCUGUUACGAAACUGGUUAACGUUGAUCUUCAGAGGACGUGCUGGCUGAGAAGCUGUGGCAGUGACGCAGAGCUGCACAUUCUCUGGGACUGAUGACUUAGGCUUUAGUUUCUAACACAGAGGUAUUUUGCCUUCAUCUGUGUGGCCAAUUUGCAGAUGUCACACGUGUUACUUUCUAGUUUUCUGAACUUGGAUACACUUCUCAGUCUCAGCAGAGUUGCAUGUUAUUUGUAUUAUGGACAGCUGUGAAACAGUCUAUGGGCAAGCCCUGUUUGUCAUUCACGGACUUCCAUUUUAAGCAAUCUGUGUAUGAAACCUAGCUCUUUAUUUUGGGUUGGUCUUAUCUGAAUCAUUCUAUCUUAGGGCACCUGUCUCAAUGGAAAGGAGGCAAAGUGCAUUUAGUUGAAGCCUCCUUAAAUGUUCCACAGAAAUCUUAGAGCUGGGUUGUCCUAGUGGCAUUCUAAGCUAUUCAGUGCUUGCCAGGCUGAGGAUGGGAAGGGGAAGUGAUGUAUUCCUCCCUCUUAAAACGUUGGAGUUCUCAAUGUGUACGUGUGAGGCUGGGAAGACGGUGACCCAGAGUGUCUUGCCUCUGCAAAUGGGGCUUUCAGCCCCUUAGCUUUUGUAUUAAAGUAUAACAGAUUUAUCAGUUCUCCUCUGUGUUAUUAAUGAAACCAAAAAUCAUCCUGUUUAUACUCAUUACAAAUUCUGUGUGUACUAUAGUGUUUAUGUUUAUUUCACUUGCCAUAUGUGCACUGUCACUUACAUUCUUGUGCCUGCUGGAUUCUUUAGCAUUGUGAGAAUGUCAUGAUAAAACUGUUCCAGCCUGUGACACGUGGGAGUGUGUGUGUCACAUAGAAGAAUUUGGUUGUCUUUGUGAAA